rnacentral:tRNA from 1 species
GCCGAUGUAGUUCAAUACAGAACACUCAUUCCCCAAAUGGAAGAUACAGGUUUAAGUCCUGUCAUCGGCA